ensembl:lncRNA
UCGGAUAUCACGCAGUCUAUGCUGAAGGGAUGUUCAGUAGUUUAGCUUUCGUUUUUGUGCACAAACAUUAAAAGGUUUAGGACAAUUCCAAGGGCCCCUGACUGACAGGGACCCCAACAAAUAGGUAAAAACUAAUUUAAAAAUUUUAUUAUAUUAUACACUAUAAAAACCAUCAUCAUUGAGUAUAUUUCAAAUAAUAAUAAAAUUAAUUAUGUCUUUGAUUUUACUUAUUUUGGCAAUAAAAGUUAAAUAUCACCAUUGACCAAAAAAUAAAACAUCCAUAUUGACCGACCACCCCCGUGUAUCUGCAAGAAAUGGUUUGGUCCUGCCUUAGCGCACUCAUCAGUGACGGGGUUUAGUUGCAGACAGUGAAUCAAUGCAUUGCGCGCUAGAAAUACAGAGACCAUAAUGUUGAGUAGUAAAAUAAAAUCUGGUUUUCAGAAAAGGAAAGAGAGUAAAGAGAGAGAGGAAAGACAAAAGAAAGGGUGUCGUUCUGUAUCCCAGUUUUUCAACAAGAAAGGCCUUUUAAGUUUGAAUUAGCCAGCUGGGCCUCUGGAAGGCCUGGUUCCUGACCCUUAACAUUUGCACUGUAAACCUGACCGACAGCAGGAGGAGACACUGGCUGGCUGAUGUGCCACUCACCCAAUCUUCAAGCAAACAUCAGGCUCACCUACAGGGUUCCACUGCAGAUUUUGGCCUGCUGGUUGUUGGGGUGGUUGUCAUGGGUGGAGUCAAACAUCUGGACAACAGAGGAUCGGAAAACCCGAGAACACUCUUGAAAUGGCAACAGGAAACAAGGAGAAAUGAAGUGAGCUCCGUGCCAGAGGCUCUUUAGAGAUCCAAGAGUCCCAUCAGCAGUAGCGCAGAAGGGUCCAUAAACCCAGCGGUCUCCACUCAAGUUUCCAUCUGCUAAAUUCUAGUCUGGUUAAAUAAGAGGCGGAAACUUUUUCCAGCAGGUACAUUUAUCGCUUGACAUUUCCUCUUGUGAAAUGGUCGUAGCAGAACAUUACUACAGCAUAUGCUGAGCACGAAAGAGUUGUUUACUGGAGAAACCAUCAGGAGCAAAACGGGCUCAGUAUUUU